UCAUUUCAUGAUGUUAAAGAAUAUAGCGGCUGAUGGGAGGAGAUAACGGGGGAUGUUAUUGUUCUAACUUCAAAGAAUGACACAAUAGAACUUUUGAACCUGACGUGCUCAAAAGAAUUUGUGACAGGUAGUGACGGAAAAGAGGAAGAGGGAAGGUAUGAGAAGGAAAGAGCGAUGUUCAGGGUGUAGAAAUAUAGUCAAUGUAUAUAGACUGGUCGAGCGAGGGGUGGACAAGAGUGGCAACAUUGCAGUGGCCUUGAAGGAUCCAUUUUCGCUUGGCCGACUAUAGUCAGUCGCAAGGGCCAGUUAGUUCAGUUCAUCAUGUAUUGAAUACAGAUUACAGUUCAUGUUUCCAGUGUUUUAUCCGGGAAUUUAUUUGUUUUGAAGUCACUUGAUCUUCUAUUAUCAAUGAGACGUAUGUCGCGUCAUGCGCCGAUACAGCUUUGAAGGGGCGCACAAUCACGAGUAUCAUGGGGAAGCUGGUGACCCUUCGUUGCCAUAUACUUUUCGUGGAAAAGAGUUCAACGCAAGGACGACCAUGAGAUAGAGAAAAAACCAUUCAAGGACCUUCUCAUAACUAAAGUUAUGAUUGACAUGGAGAAAAGGAGAAGAAACAGUCGUCUGCUGAAGUCAAUGAAGUCGAGACACUUGAAAAUUUUAAUUUGGAGCUCCAGCCAUAAAAUACAAUUCGUCGCAUUACUAUGUUAAUUAUGAAUGUUUAAGUAAAGGAUUUAUUCAUCAAUUUUGAAGUUAUGUAAUUUUUUCAAAUCCAGCUGAAUAUACUAUUUAUUCUAUAAAGGAGAUUAUAUGUCAAUGAUUUUGAAUCAUUCUGAAGAACUUAUUCAAUCAUUUCUAAAGUGAUUUAAAGUAGUUUAUUAAUCAUAAUUUUGCUCACUUAAAGCAUUGUAAAUCAUUGUAGAGUGAUUUGAGAGUAAU